rnacentral:rRNA from 1 species
ACACUUUUAAAAAAGAAAGACGAUAAGACCCUGUCGAACUUAACUUCAGUUUAACUGGGGUAGUUAAUUAAUUAUUAUUUUAAUAUAAAUUAAUUCAUAGAAAUCCAAAUCAUCUGAUAAAUAAGUUACCACAGGGAUAACAGCGCAAUUAUAUUUUAAAGCUCUUAUUUAAAAAAUAGAUUACGACCUCGAUGUUGAAUUAAUAAUCCCUUUUCAAGCAAAUUUGAAAUUCAGGAAGUCUGUUCGACUUUUAAAAAAUUACAUGAUUUGAGUUCAGACCGGCAUAAGCCAGGUCGGCUUCUAUCUUCUAAAUUAAUUUUUACAGUACGAAAGGACCUAUUAAUAUAAUAUUAUUAUAAUAUUGGCAGAUUAAUGCAUUAGAAUUAGAAUCUAAAUAAUCUAUU